rnacentral:misc_RNA from 1 species
AAGUCGUAACAAGGUUUCCGUAGGUGAACCUGCGGAAGGAUCAUUAUAGAGGUUUAUCCUUUUCUGUGAAUUUUAUAUCUGGCAUUGAGAGUGUAGCAAGAGCUUUUUACCGUAAUAUACCAUGGUGAUCAGCAACGACGGCGACCACUUCGAUGCCAAACUUUACACAAUAUAUCGUCUGAAGAAAAGAAAUGAAAAA